AAACUUGUAGCUCAAUUGGUUGAGCAUCGGCUUCAAGGGCUGACGGUUGCGGGUUCGACUCCCGUCGAGUUUACCA
rnacentral:tRNA from 1 species